rnacentral:piRNA from 1 species
GCAGUAAAUAGUGGGAAGUGCCCAGAC